GGAAUGUCUCCUAGCAAAUGAGAAACAUCAUCUUCAGGAUUCUCUUUCAGCACUGCACCUAGCUUUGCAGAUUUUGCAGUCAAAACUUCCUGUAAGUUCAACACAAACCAACAGCUUAGUAAAACUGAAAUAAUUCUGAUGUGCAUUUGACUUGUCAUGAUUUUUAACUUACCCUAUUCAAGGAAAAUGGUACUCCACAUAUGUGGAGCUGAACAUCUGAUGAUGAAGCAGACACUGAUUUCCUGAAAGGAAAGGGUAAGAAGAAUAAAAGAACAACAUUAAAAGGUUUAAUACGUGAAAAUGAAAAAGUAAAAGAAAACCAACUUUUACCUGGAUGGAGAUGCAAUGUUUUUCCUUGUGGCCAUCUUAUCAUAAUUUUGUUGUUUCCAAUCCAUUAAGGGUUCAAACUUUAGGGCCUUUCAAGCUAAGAUGUUCGAAUCAGGAUCUCCCCUAAUUAAUCAACCUGCAAAAUAUAUAGCAAUAAGCCCUCCUUCAUAUAUAUAGGAGCCUUUAUGUCUUUACAGUAACGUUAGCGGAGCCAAGAUUUUCAGUAAGCAGUGUCAAAAUAUAAAAAAUUGAAUACACUGAAAAGUCAAGGAGACUCAACAUAUAGUAAAAAUAUAUAAAACAAAAUUUUUUAUCGAGCAAUAUAAUAUAAUUUUCUGACGAAGGGUUGUUAGUUGACACCCCUUGGUUGAAUGAGAUUCACCCACCGAAUGUUUAACGGGUCAUUUGGUUCGCAAUCUAGUUAUGCAAAGACUGUAAAGUAGGAUGGCUAUGCGGUGAAAAUAAUGCAGAGAUUAUUUUUUGUUGAGGACGAUGUAUAUACUAAUACAGGGCUAUUAUGUAAAGAAUGUUAUGUAGAGAUUAAUUUAAAAAUGUCUUAGUUGGAUAUUCUACUUCAGGUAUGCUAUUUUAAGGUAAUACAAAUGCUUAUUUGCAGCUAGAGCGCAUCACUGGUCCCAAGCUCGGAUAAAGGAGGAGGGUUGUGGUAGGUGAGCAACGUGAAACUAGCCAAUUCAUGGUGAAUUAUGUUGGCCAAUUUAAAUGGAGAAACAUUAACAUUGAGGAUUUCUGUAUAGCCGACCCCAACUUGUUUGGGAUUAAAGCGUAGUUGUUGUAAAAAUGCUUUUGUGCAGCGAGAGCACUGAGUAGUCAUGCUUCUUCUGGUGCACCUAACCAUAUAUUUAUCUACUGUCG
rnacentral:lncRNA from 1 species